rnacentral:rRNA from 1 species
GACGAACGCUGGCGGCGUGCCUAAUACAUGCAAGUCGAGCGGAAGUUGAAGAGCUUGCUCUUCAACUUUAGCGGCGGACGGGUGAGUAACACGUGGGCAACCUGCCCUGCAGAUCGGGAUAACUCCGGGAAACCGGUGCUAAUACCGAAUAGUUUUCGCCACCUCCUGGUGGCGUACGGAAAGACGGUUUCGGCUGUCACUGCAGGAUGGGCCCGCGGCGCAUUAGCUAGUUGGUGGGGUAACGGCCCACCAAGGCGACGAUGCGUAGCCGACCUGAGAGGGUGAUCGGCCACACUGGGACUGAGACACGGCCCAGACUCCUACGGGAGGCAGCAGUAGGGAAUCUUCCGCAAUGGACGAAAGUCUGACGGAGCAACGCCGCGUGAGUGACGAAGGCUUUCGGAUCGUAAAACUCUGUUGUGAGGGAAGAACAAGUACCAACUAACUACUGGUACCUUGACGGUACCUCACCAGAAAGCCACGGCUAACUACGUGCCAGCCGCCGCGGUAACAC